GCCGGGGUCGCCUAGCCUGGUAGGGCGCGCGCCUGGAAAGCGCGUUCUCGCAAGGGAACGGGAGUUCGAAUCUCCCUCCCGGCGCCA
rnacentral:tRNA from 2 species